CCCAGCCUAAAUCAGUCUUUGAGAGAUUGCAGUAUGACUCCAUUUCCUUGGUGCAUUUGUAAAAUAGUUCACCCAUUGAAGACCAUGAUGACUCUUUCUAAUGCUACCCUGCUUUUGCUGGUGUCCUGCACCUGGAAGUUGUGAUGCUAAAGUAUUUUGAUGUAAUGACUGUGAUUUCACCUCCAGAAUUUGGAUGAAUGUAACAGGACGUGGGCAAGAUCGGGUUGUAGACAUCUAGCACUGAAGGCCAUGGUGUGUGUGGAUCAUGGUAAACUCACCAAAGCAAGUAAUGCCCUUGAGAUGAUCCUGCAGAAGCCAAUCAUUGCUCUCUUUUGUUGAUACCCAGUCUUUGCUGUAUUACAUUAAAAUUGCAUAAAUCCAUUAAUGUCGAAAUAAAUAUUGUCUUGUUGCUGUGUUAGA